GUCCACGCCCUAAACGAUGUCUACUAGUUGUCGGGUCUUAAUUGACUUGGUAACGCAGCUAACGCGUGAAGUAGACCGCCUGGGGAGUACGGGUCGCAAGAUUAAAACUCAAAGGAAUUGACGGGGACCCGCACAAGCGGUGGAUGAUGUGGAUUAAUUCGAUGCAACGCGAAAACCUUACCUACCCUUGACAUGGAAGGAAUCCCGAAGAGAUUUGGGAGUGCUCGAAAGAGAACCUUUACACAGGUGCUGCAUGGCUGUCGU
rnacentral:rRNA from 1 species